UGAUCGGUACGGGUUGUGAGAGCAAGAGCCCGGAGAUGGAACCUGAGACAAGGUUCCAGGCCCUACGGGGUGCAGCAGGCGCGAAACCUCCGCAAUGUGAGAAAUCGCGACGGGGGGAUCCCAAGUGCCAUUCUUAACGGGAUGGCUUCUCAUUAGUGUAAAGAGCUUUUGGAAUAAGAGCUGGGCAAGACCGGUGCCAGCCGCCGCGGUAACACCGGCAGCUCUAGUGGUAACAAUUUUUAUUGGGCCUAAAGCGUCCGUAGCCGGUUUAAUAAGUCUCUGGUGAAAUCCUGUAGCUUAACUGUGGGAAUUGCUGGAGAUACUAUUAGACUUGAGACCGGGAGAGGUUAGAGGUACUCCCAGGGUAGAGGUGAAAUUCUGUAAUCCUGGGAGGACCGCCUGUUGCGAAGGCGUCUAACUGGAACGGUUCUGACGGUGAGGGACGAAAGUUAGGGGCGCGAACCGGAUUAGAUACCCGGGUAGUCCUAACUGUAAACGAUGCGGACUUGGUGUUGGGGUGGCUUUGAGCUGCUCCAGUGCCGAAGGGAAGCUGUUAAGUCCGCCGCCUGGGAAGUACGGUCGCAAGACUGAAACUUAA
rnacentral:rRNA from 1 species